rnacentral:rRNA from 1 species
UAGGGAAUCUUCGGCAAUGGACGAAAGUCUGACCGAGCAACGCCGCGUGUGUGAAGAAGGUUUUCGGAUCGUAAAACUCUGUUGUUAGAGAAGAACAAGGACGUUAGUAACUGAACGUCCCCUGACGGUAUCUAACCAGAAAGCCACGGCUAACUACGUGCCAGCAGACGCGGUAAUACGAAAGUGGCAAGCGUUGUCCGGAUUUAUUGGGCGUAAAGCGAGCGCAGGCGGUUUCUUAAGUCUGAUGUGAAAGCCCCCGGCUCAACCGGGGAGGGUCAUUGGAAACUGGGAGACUUGAGUGCAGAAGAGGAGAGUGGAAUUCCAUGUGUGGCGGUGAGAUGCGUAGAUAUAUGGAGGAACACCAGUGGCGAAGGAGGAUCUCUGGUCUGUAAAUGACGCUGAGGCUCAAAAGCGUGGUGAGCAAACAGG